GCGGGCUGUGAGGAGGCGGCGCCGCCGCCGCGCAGAGCGCGAGGCGCUCGCGGCCCCGGGGCCCUUGACUGAGCUGCGGCAGACAGAGGAUGCAGAGAUUUUGGAACAAAUUGAUAAACAGUAAUAAGUCACCAGGACCAGAUUGUAUUCACCCAAGAACUUAAAUAACAAAUUGCAGAACUACUAACUGUGGUAUGUAACGUAUCAUUUAAAUCAGCUUCUGUACCAGAUGACUUGAGGAUAGCUAAUCUGAUGCCAAUUUUUU